rnacentral:tRNA from 1 species
GCGCUUAUAGUCUAAUAGUUUUUAUUCAUUUUUCCUAAGGUAAGACACUUGUAUGAGGUGAAUAUACAAGUAUUGUAGGUUCGAUUCCUGCUAAGCGCU